rnacentral:rRNA from 1 species
ACGAACGCUGGCGGCGUGCUUAACACGUGCAAGUCGAACGGAAAGGCCCUGCUUUUGUGGGGUGCUCGAGUGGCGAACGGGUGAGUAACACGUGAGUAACCUGCCCUUGACUUUGGGAUAACUUCAGGAAACUGGGGCUAAUACCGGAUAGGAGCUCCUGCUGCAUGGUGGGGGUUGGAAAGUUUCGGCGGUUGGGGAUGGACUCGCGGCUUAUCAGCUUGUUGGUGGGGUAGUGGCUUACCAAGGCUUUGACGGGUAGCCGGCCUGAGAGGGUGACCGGCCACAUUGGGACUGAGAUACGGCCCAGACUCCUACGGGAGGCAGCAGUGGGGAAUAUUGCACAAUGGGCGGAAGCCUGAUGCAGCAACGCCGCGUGCGGGAUGACGGCCUUCGGGUUGUAAACCGCUUUCGCCUAUGACGAAGCGUGAGUGACGGUAAUGGGUAAAGAAGCACCGGCUAACUACGUG